GUGCCAGCCGCCGCGGUAAGACGGAGGGUCCAAGCGUUGUUCGGCAGCAUUGGGCGUAAAGGGUGCGCAGGCGGCCAGGCAAGUCCGAUGUGAAAGCCCGGGGCUCAACCCCGGAGGUGCAUUGGAAACUGUCUGGCUUGAGUCCGGGAGGGGCCAGUGGAAUUCCUGGUGUAGGGGUGAAAUCCGUAGAUAUCAGGAGGAACACCGGCGGCGAAAGCGACUGGCUGGACCGGGACUGACGCUGAGGCACGAAAGCGCGGGUAGCGAACAGGAUUAGAAACCCGUGUAGUCC
rnacentral:rRNA from 1 species